UACGGGGGGGAGCAAGCGUUGUUCGGAUUUACUGGGCGUAAAGGGCGCGUAGGCGGCCACCGCAAGUCGACUGUGAAAUCUCCGGGCUUAACCCGGAAAGGUCAGCCGAUAUUGCGGGGCUAGAGUGCAGAAGGGGGCAACUGGAAUUCUCGGUGUAGCGGUGAAAUGCGUAGAUAUCGAGAGGAACACCUGCGGCGAAGGCGGGUUGCUGGGCUGACACUGACGCUGAUGCGCGAAAGCUAGGGGAGCGAACGGG
rnacentral:rRNA from 1 species